UGGGGAAUUUUGCACAAUGGGGGAAACCCUGAUGCAGCGACGCCGCGUGAUUUAGAAGGCCUUCGGGUUGUAAAAAUCUUUUCUAUGGGAAGAAAAUGACAGUACCAUAGGAAUAAGGACCGGCUAAUUACGUGCCAGCAGCCGCGGUAAUACGUAAGGUCCGAGCGUUGUCCGGAAUCAUUGGGCGUAAAGGGUACGUAGGCGGGUAAGCAAGUUAGAAGUGAAAUCCUAUAGCUCAACUAUAGUAAGCUUUUAAAACUGCUCAUCUUGAGGUAUGGAAGGGAAAGUGGAAUACCUAGUGUAGCGGUGAAAUGCGCAGAUAUUAGGAGGAAUACCGGUGGCGAAGGCGACUUUCUGGCCAUAACCUGACGCUGAGGUACGAAAGCGUGGGUAGCAAACAGG
rnacentral:rRNA from 1 species